UUUUCCGGUUUGAUCCUGCCGGAGGCCAUUGCUAUCGGAGUCCGAUUUAGCCAUGCUAGUCGCACGAGUUAGACUCGUGGCAUAUAGCUCAGUAACACGUGGCCAAACUACCCUACAGACCGCAAUAACCUCGGGAAACUGAGGCCAAUAGCGGAUAUAACUCUCAUGCUGGAGUGCAGAGAGUUAGAAACGUUCCGGCGCUGUAGGAUGUGGCUGCGGCCGAUUAGGUAGAUGGUGGGGUAACGGCCCACCAUGCCGAUAAUCGGUACAGGUUGUGAGAGCAAGAGCCUGGAGACGGUAUUUUGAGACAAGAUACCGGGCCCUACGGGGCGCAGCAGGCGCGAAACCUUUACACUGCACGACAGUGCGAUAGGGGGACUCCGAGUGUGAGGGCAUAUAGCCCUCGCUUUUCUGUACCGUAAGGUGGUACAAGAAUAAGGACUGGGCAAGACCAGGUGCCCGCCGCCGCGGUAAUACCGGCAGUCCAAGUGAUGGCCGAUAUUAUUGGGCCUAAAGCGUCCGUAGCCUGCUGUGUAAGUCCAUUGGGAAAUCGACCAGCUCAACUGGUCGACGUCCGGUGGAAACUACACAGCUUGGGGCCGAGAGACUCAACGGGUACGUCCGGGGUAGGAGUGAAAUCCUAUAAUCCUGGACGGACCACCAAUGGGGAAACCACGUUGAGAGACCGGACCCGACAGAGAAGGGACGAAAGCCAGGGUCUCGAACCGGAUUAGAUACCCGGGUAGUCCUGGCCUGUAAACAAUGC
rnacentral:rRNA from 1 species